rnacentral:rRNA from 1 species
AGUGAACGCUGGCGGUAGGCCUAACACAUGCAAGUCGAACGGCAGCACAGUAAGAGCUUGCUCUUACGGGUGGCGAGUGGCGGACGGGUGAGGAAUACAUCGGAAUCUACUUUUUCGUGGGGGAUAACGGAGGGAAACUUACGCUAAUACCGCAUACGACCUACGGGUGAAAGCAGGGGAUCUUCGGACCUUGCGCGAUUGAAUGAGCCGAUGUCGGAUUAGCUAGUUGGCGGGGUAAGGGCCCACCAAGGCGACGAUCCGUAGCUGGUCUGAGAGGAUGAUCAGCCACACUGGAACUGAGACACGGUCCAGACUCCUACGGGAGGCAGCAGUGGGGAAUAUUGGACAAUGGGCGCAAGCCUGAUCCAGCCAUACCGCGUGGGUGAAGAAGGCCUUCGGGUUGUAAAGCCCUUUUGUUGGGAAAGAAAAGCAGCAGGUUAAUACCCCGCUGUUCUGACGGUACCCAAAGAAUAAGCACCGGCUAACUUCGUG